UUUAUGGAGAGUUUGAUCCUGGCUCAGGAUGAACGCUGGCGGCGUGCCUAAUACAUGCAAGUCGAGCGAACGGAUGAGAAGCUUGCUUCUCUGAUGUUAGCGGCGGACGGGUGAGUAACACGUGGAUAACCUACCUAUAAGACUGGGAUAACUUCGGGAAACCGGAGCUAAUACCGGAUAAUAUUUUG
rnacentral:rRNA from 1 species